UACGGAGGGGACUAGCGUUGUUCGGAAUUACUGGGCGUAAAGCGCACGUAGGCGGAUUUGUAAGUCAGGGGUGAAAUCCCGGGGCUCAACCUCGGAACUGCCUUUGAUACUGGCAACCUAGAGGCUGGAAGAGGUUAGUGGAAUUCCCAGUGUAGAGGUGAAAAUUCGUAGAUAUUGGGAAGAAACACCAGUGGCGAAGGGCGGCUA
rnacentral:rRNA from 1 species